ACCUUUUCCUAAAUGAACAAUUAUUUAAUGAGGGCUUAGGUUCCCAAACAAAGCCUACCCCUACCCCAAGUUUACUUACCUAUAAUGUGACAGAACUAUGGAAGGAAGAACACGAAAAUACUACAUAAAGACAGUAAGAAGGUCGACUGGGUGGGGAAGUAUGAAUUAAGUUAAUUUCAGCUACAUUGGUGUCCUGUCUUCACAGAACCCUGCCGUAUACAUAAGAAGUAUAUUCCACAAAACAAACUAACAGCUUCAAGCUUCAUUUCCUCAUCACCACCAGCCAACAACUGUUGACCAGUUGCCACGGACAAGUGGAUAAGUGCAAGGACUUUGGGAGUGGCAGUAUACCCCACCCCCACCCCAGACCAGAGCUCCUGCUUCCAGCCUUACCCUUGUAGCUACUACCUAAGGAACAAACUUCUGUGAAGAAAGGGCCAACCAUCCCCAACUAAUUGCAAACUAACUGGUACUCUCAAGGCAGGGUCACUGCUAGAAGGGACCUCGGCACCCACUUUGUCCAACCCAGAGCUGAAGGAAUCCCCUGGACAACAAAUGCAGUAAGGCCAAUACCUCCAACGAGGUGAAUCCCAUAACCUCUCUAGAUAGCUCAUUAUUUUGUAUUUACUCAUCUGUGCAUAUGCUGUAUGCCCCAGCAGGAUUUAAGCCAAGAGCAGGAGCACUGACUUAAUUUACUGGUAAUUCCUCAUAACAGUAGGCUUUUAUCAAAUCAGCUCUAGCCUCUUUUGACAUCUGCUCACCCCCACUUCAAUUUAUUAUUUAAACGAGUCUUCCCGUGACUCACAUGCAGCUCUCCUGGCUCCUGCCAUGAAGCUGUGCAGGUGGUAGUUAGUAAAUUAAGUGACUAUUCACCAACACCACAGGCACAGUUUGCUGUAAGAAAACAUAUUAUAAAAAUAUGCUUUUCACUAAAGAAACAUUGUUGAAUAACCACUUGCUUUACAAACUAUUUGUAAGUCUUUUGACUCUCAAGCUCCUCUGAUAUAUUUUAAAUGAUCUGAAUUGCAAAAAUUCAUUUCAAAAAUUUUAAAAAUAGGAAUCCAUUGACAGGAUAAGAUUUAGAUGUAAAAGGGACCAAGAGAUCACCUAAUCCAAUCCUCUCAUUUUACAGAUGAAAAACUGAAAUAGAGAAGUUAAGUGACUUAGCAGGAGAACUUGUAAAUGCUGUACACAUGAAUAAUUCUCACCUUACCGAGCCUAUUUUCUCAUCUAUAAAAUGGGGACAUUGCCUGUAGAACUUACCUUACUGUGAAGAUCAAAUGGAUAUCAUAAAAUUCAAACAGCUGAUUCUAAAGGGGCUCAAGGGAAGCCAGUUAUUAUUAAGUAGUAGAACAGGCAUUCAAACCAGGGCCCUCUUUCCACUACCACAUGCUGCCUUUCUGAAAUUUCUGUAUUAAAACCCAAACAAAU